AAAGGGAAAAAACAAACAAACUAUACAGUAGUUUUAAGUAUAAACAAGUCCAUAAAGAAUGCAAAUCUUACCGAUGUAGAAGCGUCCUGAAGUUCGUCUAUAGAAGAAUUCUCCAUGAGUUGACGAGGUCGGCUGCUUCGACCAUUUUGCUGUGCUUGGUUCUUCUCGAGCAGUCUGAAGAAGACCUGAGGGCACAGAGGGCACAGAGGGCAGACACAAGAUCCCAGUCUGUGGCUUUACUCAGGAGCAGCCAGGAGGGGGAAGCAUCCCUCUUUGCUUUUGAACCGAGAAGGAAGCCAAAGAAAAAGGACGGCAUCCUCGAUGGUUCCAAUUUCCAGCCCAUUCCCCAAUUUUCAAGCCCAGUGACAGACAACACACGCUGGAAUGUCUGUUUAGCCAAAGAAGGGAAUUGUAUAAAGAAUGGCCUGACGGCGCUCUCCCAAGAUUGGAGGCCAUUUUGUGGUGGAGCUCUGCGUUCAACAUUGUGACUAAUGGGUAGCCCUACAGGACUAUUGGAGACUUGGAAAUAUGCUUUUCGUUACAGUUACUUUGGAAAUUUAUAUUUCAUUACAGCCCUGCUUAUUCUAGUGCAGAGAGGACACAGAUGUGUUUGUGUAGCAAAAAUGGGUUACUUCUAAAAAUGAUAAUUAAACUCUCGUGAUGUGAGAGGGUAUCCUGUAUUCCCAGAAUGCCUUGUCUCACUGAAGCAACCUUUGGAGGGAGAUCUGGGGGAGUCCUCCCACCUUCCUUACAGCUCCCAGCUCUUCAGAAGCCCCUUAGUGCAUCUCAUUGUCUCUACUGAGAGAUAAGGUCUGCCUUUGCUGUGUACGAUAGCUACCCUACCUUUGGCAUGUGGUCGUUGCUAAUUACUUUGAGCUGUUAAGGGAGACAUAUCUGGGGAGACAGGCAGGAGAAGGAGACCUACAAACCCACUUUAGAAGAAGUAGAAGCCGAUUUUACGAUUGCUUCGUAUAGCUUUGUUUGACCCCGGUACGUAUUGUUCUCAUACGGCCAGUCUGUGUGUGUCGUUUUGUUCUGCUAAAGUGAAUGGCUGAGGAUGUUGAGGUCUGCAAACGGUGUUUUCAGUCCCAUCCCAUGUAUUGCAUCAUGUCCUAUUAUAGGACACAGUGUUGAUCACAUUUAGGGCUGCGCUCCACUGUGUGUUUCUGUCUGUGUGUGAAAGAGAGGUUCUUUCUAAAUGCCUCAGGAAAGCUGGUAAAAAAAAAUCUUAGGCUCAUUUGUGAUCUGCCCCGGUGCAAGACAGUGACCUGGCAGAAGUCAAAUGUGAUAAAUCCAGGCUUAGAUGCGCUUUAGGUUUUUAAGGCAAAAAAAAGAAACAAAAGGACAAACGUAGAAAGAAAUCAUUAGCUAAACCAAAAACCAGCAUAAAUCAAUUUGAAACAGUAAAUUAGCUGGUAUAAAUCACUGUCCAGGCUUCAGUAAGCCACGGUGGCAGUGUCAGGGAUCGGGUUUAGCAGACUCGCUGCCUGGUAAACUGCUCCAUUUAACUCCCCUCCGACUCCCACUGGCUCAUUGCUAAAUAAGGAUAUCAAUUAGGCUAAAGCACUCAGCAAAGGCUCCCAAGUUAACCAUCAGCCGAGGCAUGAAUGGAUCUUUGGGGAUAUUGACUGCUGCGGCAAUAGGUUUGUAAGUGGGCUGACCAUGGGGUAAUUAAAGCAGCAUUAUCAUGUUACGCAGUUUAUGGUACUUCUGUGGCUCUAUGUGCCAUCCAUGCAAGACAGUGGAGGAUGAAAACCAGACAGAUGCAGAUGCUGUGUUCUCAGGGUCAAGCAGGCUGCGUGAGAAGAAAGGUCACUCCUGGGUGUGUGUUGUACUUACCUUUAAGUCUAAUUUGAGCCGAUUUGGCCGCCAUCAGCUGUUUUUUUUUAAAAAAAAAAGCCUUUCAUUUUCAAUCUUAACGCUGCCAAUAUUUAACCAUUCAACUUCUGUGAGUAAGACUUACAUCUGAACAUGAUGUGAAGAAAAUCAUCAGGAAUAAGCUCAAGCCAGCCCACUAUAUGAGGUGGCCUUGAUGUAUGUGCAAUUACAGCAUAAUUACGGUGAUAAUUACUGUACGGGUAAGAUUAAUAACUUUAUUAGCUAAAAUGGUUCACUUUUAAAAGAGGGAUAUGUAUACGUUGGUCUGGUGGAACUAAAUUUGCUCAAAGUCAAUUAACGCGCUGAUUGUAUGUCUCAUUACUCACGUGUUUCACCUUGCAAAGGCACCUUGAGAAGCUAAAUUUAAAAUGUAAAAAGGUCAGAAAGUCCCCCGUACAAUUAAGGCAGGAAUUUCUCAAGAAUUUCAUCACUAUUGAGAAAAUGACUAUUUUGGCCAAUUUAAUGAGAAAGACCUAGUUCAAAAUGAAUCCCUGUGAAUGGCAUGCUGAGUCUGUGGAACAUAUUUCAAUUACCACAGGAGAGGUAACUACAGUCUACACUGACGCUGUUCAUUUAUCCCUGACGGGUAGGUUUCCGCGGUUGUUUUUUUGUCAAGGAAGAGUGCGGUCCGACUGUGAUUGGACUGUUCGACAGCUGGCCCUUUAAGCUCCCUUGAUACAAUAAUAACUUCUCCUCUUUAAUUUAGCCAAGCUAGCCGCGUUGUUGUAAAGGGCUAGAUUUGUUUUAUCAGGACCUAUUAACCAUUUCCCUCUUAUUAUUAAAUGCAUGCUCUCUAAUUUGCAAUUUUUCCAACGUGAUGUAAUUAUGAUGUAUCAGUUCCCUCAAAUAAAGGCCCUGUCCUCUCUCGGUGUUAAUUUGAGUGUGUGAACUUUAUACUUUGAACUAAUUGGUUGCUGUCGAAAUCCCCCUGAAUGUGAGUAAUUUGAUCAGGUAUUCCAUAACCAUUGUACAAUUUAAUUUGAGUAAUUUAAUUGGAUUUGACUGCUCAUUUCUGGGCCACUCUCCACUCAGGAACUGCAGAGCUGCAGAGGUGUCCUGAGGCAAACAUGGGCUCUAACUGCCACCAGUCGCUCAAACCAACAGAGCUGGAAACUUCCCACUAGAACGCCGAGCUGGUUCAGACACUGGACAGCUGUUUCACUCUUCACAUUUAUUUAUUUGUCAUUUAUUUAUUUGACUUCUGGCACCGACUCUGCUGUGAACACAUCAUCGGGGAAAAGGGAUGCAAGGAUGAAGUCUUUAUCUUAUGCUCAAGCUUUUUAAGGGACUUCCCACUGUGGUACAGUGGACUUUUCUCUGUCUUUAGACUCAACAAUCUUGUUUUAGUCAUAGCACAGAUCCACAGAGUUGGAGGUAGGAGAUGAGGCUGUGGAAUACACAGAGUAAGAAAAUGCCUCAUGGGUAAAAGAAGGAUUCUCAGAGUAGAUACUGAUAUAGAGAGAAACUGGGAGAGAGAGAGAGAGACAGACACCCAUGGGCAAGAGUGGCACUGUCAUGCCCAAGUUCUCCUUGUCCGCCCCCUACUGCCAGAGACGACACUGCCGCUUUGCAUCCGUCUUAUGUAGUCAUAACAGCAGGUCCUCUAACCCAAUUUAUGACCUCCACCCUAGCCGGGGUAUAUAGGAGUUUAACAAUGGGCGACUCUGUAGGGAGGGAGUACGUCAAGACCUCACCGAGCAACUUCCUCAUCUAUUAUUUCUCUUUUUAUAUAUUGUGUAGAAUGUGUCUUUUCUGGGAAUUCCACAAUAAAAUGACUGUUAUUUAUCAUUACCAACCUCUUUAUCAUUUAGUCAAUAAAAGGCCUCUCACUCUCUCUCCCUCUCCUUCCCUGCAUCGCGCUCUGGGAGUCAGAUAUCUGUAUUAGUCCCCCUGCCUCGGGGCGAGCCGUGUCACAAGCUAAAUCAUGAUCAGCUAUGGCUUUCUGGCUAAAUUGUGUAUGAAGGCCGCGGGCAAGAAAAGGUGCACAUGCUUAUUAUUGCAGACACAGAGAGAAAGCGACAGAAGUUUGCGCACACACAUUAAAGCCCACAUAAACAUACACAUGAACGGGGCUGCGAUAAAUCGCGGUGGCACAUAUCUGCGGACGUGGGUCAUGAGGAUUUGUGUAAAUAGUCACAAAUUAAUGUGUGAGUGUUUGUAUUUGCAUGCAAAUCAGCACAGCACAUAUUAUAUUGUGAGUAUAGUGAAAAUAAAGAGAGCAAUGACACAUCUGUUAGUGAGUUAACAAGGACGGCGCAGCCUUAUUUCCGUAUUAACAUCCUUUAUGUGACAUCACACUAAUAUUUACGGUAACCAAUCGCAGUUUUUAUUCCACGAUUGUGCCAGAGGAGAUCCUUAAAUACAAGAGGUUAAAAGAGUGUUGCAACACUCCCAGGAGGAACCUAUUGGCAGAGUGACUUUGGGAAUUAAAGAAAUGAAUCCUGUUUAGCAGCAAUUCAUUUUUGUCUUUUUAUUGACGGUUGAUCGUAGGAUGAAGAUUAACUGGAACAAAUCAAAAUGAGGUUAACAUGAAAAAGACACACUGCCGCAAAAUCAAGUCAGGAGUUUGUCUUUAUUGCAGUUUAUUGAGGGUUUGAACACUAAAACAUGCAACUACACUGACAUGAUAGAGUACAACAUUAAUUUAAGAAGAAAAAAAGUAAAAAAAAAAAAA